CCCUUAGAUGUUCUGGGCUGCACGCGCGCUACACUGAAGCUAUCAACACGUUUUCCCUCCCUGAGAAGGGCGGGUAACCUUUUGAAUCAGCUUCGUGGUAGGGAUCGGGGCUUGCAAUUGUUCCCCGUGAACCAGGAAUUCCUAGUAGACGCGAGUCAUAAGCUCGCAUCGAUUAAGUCCCUGCCCUUUGUACACACCGCCCGUCGCUCCUACCGAUUGAAUGAUCCGAUGAAUAUCAUGGAUUGAGGAUGCAAGCAGGUUCGCCUGUCUUCAUCUUCGAGAAGUGAAGUAAAUCUUAUCAUUUAGAGGAAGGAGAAGUCGUAACA
rnacentral:rRNA from 1 species